rnacentral:lncRNA from 1 species
GCCAAUUAUUCAUCCAUCUCAUGAUUUUUGGUUGCUUCCUGUAAGGCAAAAUGACUUGGUUUGUUAACACAAAACAUUCAACAAACUUCUGGGACAACGUGAGCUUGGAGAUGCCCUGGAUUUUGAGGUUCUAUUACACAGCAUCACUCUGCUUGGCUUUCUUACAGAGACUGGGGGUAUGACAGUUCAGCAUCUCUCUCCUGGUUUCUGUUCUUUCCCCCAUUCUCAGCCUAGCUGAUAAUCUGUAAGAAAGAGCCUUUACCUAGCAUGGAAACUGGAAGAGAUUUUGGGAAGUGAGAGCAUCUUAGGGCUCAAUACCUCCCUUCUGCUUUCAGCACAGUGGAAAUAGGUGGCCCCUUGCUCAUUCGCUGGUUUUAAGUACAUUUUAAUUAAGAGCUCUUCUGCUUUCUCCAGAGCCCCCGACUGCCCUUGUGCCAGAAGUGCAGUAUUUACAGAAAAGAUGAGGACUGAGGUUUUAUAAGACUGAGAAAUGUGCC